AUUGAACGCUGGCGGCAGGCCUAACACAUGCAAGUCGAACGAGUGGCGGACGGGUGAGUAAUGUUUGGGCAUCUGCCUGCUGGAGGGGGAUAACUACUGGAAACGGUAGCUAAUACCGCAUACCAUCAUUUCAUCCCAGGUGGGAUUAGCUAGUUGGUGGGGUAACGGCUCACCAAGGCGACGAUCCCUAGCUGGUCUGAGAGGAUGACCAGCCACACUGGGACUGAGACACGGCCCAGACUCCUACGGGAGGCAGCAGUAGGGAAUCUUCGGCAAUGGACGAAAGUCUGACCGAGCAACGCCGGGGGAGUGAAGAAGGCCUUCGGGUUGUAAAGUACUUUCAGCGGGGAGGCGUUACCCGCAGAAGAAGCACCGGCUAACUCCGUGCCAGCAGCCGCGGUAAUAC
rnacentral:rRNA from 1 species